GGCAGUGAAGGUUUUUCCUGUUCUGCCUCUUAGCUGGCCAUUGAGUUGACUCUGCUGAUUACCUGAGGGAGGCACAGUCAGGAGACAAGGAGGGCAGACACAAAGAAACCUGUCUUCCCAUCCAUCAGAGAAAAAACACCCAGCCAGCGAUGGUUUCGCAAACCGGCCAUUAAUUGACGUGAGCUGCGGGUGCUGCUGAGCCUUUUCCAUCACCCUGCAUGGAUGUGCUCGGCUCUUCCCCACUCUCCUGGGACAGCAGGACACUUUUGCUGGGCCCUCAGAACAAGGCAGAUUAUGGAAAGUAAGGAAAAAGAGCCUCUGUACAUCACCAUAGAUGCUGCAGGAAGUUCAAAAAGCCUCAAGUACAAAAUUUCCAUCACUAUAGCUCCCAGAAGUCCAUCUUGCUUUGAGUAUAAAAAUAUUAAGCAGGAGGUAAGGAAGAGAAAUAUUUAACUACUUCUGUAGUAUCUGUGUAAAAA
rnacentral:lncRNA from 1 species